UACGAAGGGGGCGAGCGUUGUUCGGAAUUACUGGGCGUAAAGGGCGCGCAGGCGGCUCUGAAAGUCAGAUGUGAAAGCCCCGGGCUUAACCUGGGAAUUGCAUUUGAUACUCUGGAGCUUGAGUACGGGAGAGGAGAGUGGAAUUCCCAGUGUAGAGGUGAAAUUCGUAGAUAUUCGGAAGAACACCAGUGGCGAAGGCGGCUCACUGGACCGGUAUUGACGCUGAGGUGCGAAAGCGUGGGGAGCAAACAGG
rnacentral:rRNA from 1 species